rnacentral:rRNA from 1 species
UGAGGAAUAUUGGUCAAUGGGCGAGAGCCUGAACCAGCCAAGUAGCGUGCAGGAUGACGGCCCUAUGGGUUGUAAACUGCUUUUAUAUGGGAAUAAAGUGAGGGACGUGUCCCUUAUUGCAUGUACCAUACGAAUAAGGACCGGCUAAUUCCGUGCCAGCAGCCGCGGUAAUACGGAAGGUCCAGGCGUUAUCCGGAUUUAUUGGGUUUAAAGGGAGCGUAGGCUGUUUGUUAAGCGUGUUGUGAAAUGUAAGAGCUCAACUUUUAGAUUGCAGCGCGAACUGGCAGACUUGAGUGCGCACAAGGUAGGCGGAAUUCAUGGUGUAGCGGUGAAAUGCUUAGAUAUCAUGACGAACUCCGAUUGCGAAGGCAGCUUACGGGAGCGCAACUGACGCUAAAGCUCGAAGGUGCGGGUAUCGAACAGG